rnacentral:rRNA from 1 species
UACGGAGGAUGCAAGCGUUAUCCGGAAUGAUUGGGCGUAAAGCGUCCGCAGGUGGCUGUGUAAGUCUGCUGUUAAAGAGUGAGGCUCAACCUCAUAAAAGCAGUGGAAACUACACAGCUAGAGUGCGUUCGGGGCAGAGGGAAUUCCUGGUGUAGCGGUGAAAUGCGUAGAGAUCAGGAAGAACACCGGUGGCGAAGGCGGCCCUCUGGUCCAUUACUGACGCUGGAGGCGCGAAAGCUAGGGGAGCAAACGGG